rnacentral:rRNA from 1 species
UACGAAGGGAGCAAGCGUUAUUCGGAUUUACUGGGCGUAAAGGGCGUGUAGGCGGUUAACUAAGUCAGUUGUUAAAUACCAUGGCUUAACUAUGGAUCGGCAAUUGAUACUGGUUAACUAGAGGGCAAGAGAGAGGAGUGGAAUUCUCGGAGUAGCGGUAAAAUGCGUAGAUCUCGAGAGGAACACCGAUGGCGAAGGCAGCUCUUUGGCUUGUACCUGACGCUGAGACGCGAAAGCGUGGGGAG